GACGAACGCUGGCGGCGUGCUUAACACAUGCAAGUCGAACGGAAAGGCCCUGCUUUUGUGGGGUGCUCGAGUGGCGAACGGGUGAGUAACACGUGAGUAACCUGCCCUUGACUUUGGGAUAACUUCAGGAAACUGGGGCUAAUACCGGAUAGGAGCUCCUGCUGCAUGGUGGGGGUUGGAAAGUUUCGGCGGUUGGGGAUGGACUCGCGGCUUAUCAGCUUGUUGGUGGGGUAGUGGCUUACCAAGGCUUUGACGGGUAGCCGGUCUGAGAGGGUGACCGGCCACAUUGGGACUGAGAUACGGCCCAGACUCCUACGGGAGGCAGCAGUGGGGAAUAUUGCACAAUGGGCGGAAGCCUGAUGCAGCAACGCCGCGUGCGGGAUGACGGUCUUCGGGUUGUAAACCGCUUUCGCCUGUGACGAAGCGUGAGUGACGGUAAUGGGUAAAGAAGCACCGGCUAACUACGU
rnacentral:rRNA from 1 species